rnacentral:rRNA from 1 species
GCAUCCUCAAAACAGUUGUAAAUUUCCACAAAUAGUUCCGCAUAAAUACACAGAUAACGGAUAUUUCCUUCCAUACAGCUGGUAUAAAUUCCAUGCAGUCUGGCAUCCAAUGCCGAGAGCAGCGGUCCGUAUUCCCAGCCCAUCUUACUGACGGCAUAUGCCGGGUUUGCAUAACUGUCCGCAUAAUCUUCCUGCACAUCCAGAUACAGACGGCGAUUGAUCUUUUUCCCUUCCAGCGUGGAAAUUUCUGCCAGUUUUCCACUCAGGGACGCUUCUGCUAAUUUAUACAAAACCAGAAACAGUUCCGACAUUUCAAAGAAAUAUCCCCGGUACAGUUCUUCCACACUGGAGGCUUCCUCCUCGCUGACCGCCUCAAUGCGCUCCAUCACAAGUUCCAGCCGUUCCCAGUAUUCCUCGUUAUUUUUGUUCCAUAAUUUCAACUCCUAGUCAUAUACUAGCAUAAUUUACUCAUUAUGUCAAACAAUUGUUUAAGAGAACUUGAGAAAUUCAUUUACUUUUAAGUAUGUGCGUGUUAUAAUCUUACUCGUGGUGGUGAUAACAUGCAUUUACCUAAUAUGAACGAUGCAAAAAUUAGAAAUCAAAGUAAAGUUAAUUAUAUUUACGAAAAUAGAGAAAGUAAUGACUUAUUUAAAGGAAAAAAGUAUUUUAUUAAAACUUACGGUUGUCAGAUGAAUGUUCAUGACUCAGAAGAAAUAAGUGCUUUAAUUGAAUCUUUAGGUUAUAUUAAAACUGAUGUUUUAGAAGAAGCAGACUUUAUUAUACUAAAUACCUGUGCAAUUAGAGAAAAUGCUCAUGAUAAAGUGUUUGGUUUCCUUGGAAGAUGUAAACAUUUAAAAAAAGAAAAGACAGUGAAAAAUCAAAGAAAAUGACGGAGGGAAAAUAGAUAUGAAAAAUAUUUGUAUUGGAUUAUUUGAGGGGGAAACAUUACCUGAAAGUUUAGCGGCUUUUAAAAAUGUAAAAUUGGAUUUAGAGUUUGGUAAGAUUACAACAAUUCAUACACUAAAUCAAUUGGAUUGUGAAAAAAUCGUAGUCGUUGGUUUGGGUGAUGGUAAAAAGAAUAUCAAGGAAGCUUUUAGUAAAGUAGAGGCGGAUGAUUAUUUGGUGUAUGUCACUGAAAACACGGCGUAUGCGGCUGGCUUUGGCUUAGUGUAUGGAGCUUAUAGCUAUAAAGAGACGAAGGUGUAUGAUUUAGAGGAGCGUUGUAUAAAGAUUGAAGCUAUACUGAAAAGAGUAGUGGACGAUAUACAAGAGAGAAUGCCGGAAUAAGUAGCGAGAGCACAGUGAGAAUCUGUGCCGCCGAAAACCUAAGGUUUCCUGGGGAAGGUUCGUCCGCCCAGGGUAAGUCGGGACCUAAGACGAGGCUAAAGCAGCGUAGUCGAUGGAAAGCAGGUAAAAGAUUCCUGCACUACCGAAAUGCGAUAUACAAUAUAUCAUGACGCAUCAGAAGAGUCUAAGCGAGCAAAUGGAAAAGUUCGUACCGCAAGGUGGAGUGAAAAAUAGUAACGAAGUAGAUAAAUCAGGUGACAAGAAAAGUGAUAUAGGAGCAUAGAGGUACUCGUACCGUAAACCGACACAGGUGGGAAGAAAGAGAAUUUUCAGGCGAACGAGAGAAUCAUUGUUAAGGAACUCGGCAAAUUAACCCCGUAACUUAGGGAUAAGGGGAGCCAAUAGCGAUAUUGGUCGCAGAGAAAUGGCCCAAGCAACUGUUUAGCAAAAACACAGGUUUCUGCCAAAUCGAAAGAUGAAGUAUAGGAGCUGACGCCUGCCCAGUGCUGGAAGGUCAAGGGGAAGAGUAAACGUUUCGAUGUGAAGCUCUGAACUUAAGCCCCAGUGAACGGCGGCCGUAACUAUAACGGUCCUAAGGUAGCGAAAUUCCUUGUCAGGUAAGUUCUGACCCGCACGAAAGGCGUAAUGAUUUGGGAGCUGUCUCGACAGUAUACUCGGCGAAAUUGUAGUACUAGUGAAGAUGCUAGUUACCUGCGACAAGACAGAAAGACCCCAUGGAGCUUUACUGUAGCUUGAUAUUGGGUUUCGGUAAUUUAUGUACAGGAUAGGUGGGAGACUGAGAAGUUCUGGCGUCAGCUAGAAUGGAGUCACCCUUGGGAUACCACCCUUAAGUUAUUGAAAUUCUAACCUGUGAUCAUAAACUGGUCAGGGGACAAUGUCAGGCGGGCAAGUGUUGUAUUAGGUUCUGCGACACCGUCAGUGGAGAGCUAUGAGAAGGCAAAAAGGGGGGAGUAUACGCUUCUUACGUUACCACACCGCGUAAAUCAUGUCAGUAUGCCAAAGGUUUAUGUGGCGGAUUUAAGGAAAGAAUUAGAAGAAGGAAACCGCUCAAUUUUCAGCCGUGUAUUACAGGAGAAAAUUGAGGAACGGUUAAAACGAAGAGAGCAGACCAUACUAUUUUUAAACCGGCGUGGAUAUGCAGGCUUUGUUUCUUGUCGCAGUUGUGGUUUUGUGUUAAAAUGUAGUCAUUGUGAAGUUUCCAUGACGGCACACAAAAAUCAUGUCGGUGAUGUGGAUACAUUGGUCUGUCAUUACUGUGGACAUGCAAUCGCUAUGCCAAAGACAUGCCCAU